rnacentral:rRNA from 1 species
UACAGAGGGUGCAAGCGUUGCUCGGAUUUACUGGGCGUAAAGCGUACGCAGACGGUGAGAAAGGUCGAAUGUGAAAGCCCCGGGCUCAACCCGGGAACUGCAUCCGAAACCAUCUCGCUAGAGUAUGAGAGAGGGAAGCAGAAUUCCUGGUGUAGAGGUGAAAUUCGUAGAUAUCAGGAGGAAUACCUGCGGCGAAGGCGGCUUCCUGGCUCAUUACUGACGUUCAGGUACGAAAGCGUGGGUAGCAAAC